UAGCUCAAUUGGUCAGAGCGCGGAACUGUUAAUCCCGAGGUCGUCGGU
rnacentral:tRNA from 1 species